UACGGCGGGUGCAAACGUUGCUCGGAAUUAUUGGGCGUAAAGCGCACGUAGGCGGUUCGUUAAGUUGGAUGUGAAAGCCCUGGGCUCAACCCAGGAAGUGCAUACAAAACUGGCGAGCUUGAGUACAGAAGAGGGUCUCGGAGUUCCCGGUGUAGAGGUGAAAUUCGUAGAUAUCGGGAGGAACACCAGUGGCGAAGGCGGAGACCUGGGCUGAUACUGACGCUGAGGUGCGAAAGCGUGGGGAGCAAACAGG
rnacentral:rRNA from 1 species